CAGUAGGGUGCCAUCAAGAGGUGUGUUUGGAAAU
rnacentral:rRNA from 1 species